UACGUAGGGUGCAGGCGUUAAUCGGAAUUACUGGGCGUAAAGCGUGCGCAGGCGGUUUGCUAAGACAGGUGUGAAAUCCCCGGGCUUAACCUGGGAACUGCGCUUGUAACUGGCAAGCUAGAGUGUGGCAGAGGGGGGUGGAAUUCCACGUGUAGCAGUGAAAUGCGUAGAGAUGUGGAGGAACACCGAUGGCGAAGGCAGCCCCCUGGGCUAACGCUGACGCUCAUGCACGAAAGCGUGGGGAGCAAACAGG
rnacentral:rRNA from 1 species